rnacentral:rRNA from 1 species
GACGAACGCUGGCGGCGUGCUUAACACAUGCAAGUCGAACGGAAAGGCCCUGCUUUUGUGGGGUGCUCGAGUGGCGAACGGGUGAGUAACACGUGAGUAACCUGCCCUUGACUUUGGGAUAACUUCAGGAAACUGGGGCUAAUACCGGAUAGGAGCUCCUGCUGCAUGGUGGGGGUUGGAAAGUUUCGGCGGUUGGUGAUGGACUCGCGGCUUAUCAGCUUGUUGGUGGGGUAGUGGCUUACCAAGGCUUUGACGGGUAGCCGGCCUGAGAGGGUGACCGGCCACAUUGGGACUGAGAUACGGACCAGACUCCUACGGGAGGCAGCAGUGGGGAAUAUUGCACAAUGGGCGGAAGCCUGAUGCAGCAACGCCGCGUGCGGGAUGACGGCCUUCGGGUUGUAAACCGCUUUCGCCUGUGACGAAGCGUGAGUGACGGUAAUGGGUAAAGAAGCACCGGCUAACUACGUG